rnacentral:rRNA from 1 species
UACGUAGGUGGCAAGCGUUGUCCGGAAUUAUUGGGCGUAAAGAGCGCGCAGGCGGUCGAUCAAGUCGAGUGUGAAAGCCCCCGGCUCAACUGGGGAGGGUCAUUCGAUACUGAUCGACUCGAAGGCAGGAGAGGGUAGUGGAAUUCCCGGUGUAGUGGUGAAAUGCGUAGAUAUCGGGAGGAACACCAGUGGCGAAGGCGGCCUUCUGGACGGAUACUGACGCUGAGGCGCGAAAGCCAGGGGAGCAAACGGG